UUAAUCCUGAGAUGUACGCGAAGCUUAUUAAUUUUAACCUACAUGAGAAAUACGGGAUUUGCAAAACAGCUAAUGAAAUCGGGCUUCAAGUUUUACUUCACUUUUGUGACGGAAGAUGAUCGAGUUAGUUUGCGGAAAACCCACCUGCGAGAGGCAGGUAUAAAAUUGUAAGUGUGACGGCAUAUUUGGGAACAUU
rnacentral:other from 1 species